rnacentral:rRNA from 1 species
GGUUAAGCGACUAAGCGUACACGGUGGAUGCCCUGGCAGUCAGAGGCGAUGAAGGACGUGCUAAUCUGCGAUAAGCGUCGGUAAGGUGAUAUGAACCGUUAUAACCGGCGAUUUCCGAAUGGGGAAACCCAGUGUGUUUCGACACACUAUCAUUAACUGAAUCCAUAGGUUAAUGAGGCGAACCGGGGGAACUGAAACAUCUAAGUACCCCGAGGAAAAGAAAUCAACCGAGAUUCCCCCAGUAGCGGCGAGCGAACGGGGAGCAGCCCAGAGCCUGAAUCAGUGUGUGUGUUAGUGGAAGCGUCUGGAAAGGCGCGCGAUACAGGGUGACAGCCCCGUACACAAAAAUGCACAUGCUGUGAGCUCGAUGAGUAGGGCGGGACACGUGGUAUCCUGUCUGAAUAUGGGGGGACCAUCCUCCAAGGCUAAAUACUCCUGACUGACCGAUAGUGAACCAGUACCGUGAGGGAAAGGCGAAAAGAACCCCGGCGAGGGGAGUGAAAAAGAACCUGAAACCGUGUACGUACAAGCAGUGGGAGCACGCUUAGGCGUGUGACUGCGUACCUUUUGUAUAAUGGGUCAGCGACUUAUAUUCUGUAGCAAGGUUAACCGAAUAGGGGAGCCGAAGGGAAACCGAGUCUUAACUGGGCGUUAAGUUGCAGGGUAUAGACCCGAAACCCGGUGAUCUAGCCAUGGGCAGGUUGAAGGUUGGGUAACACUAACUGGAGGACCGAACCGACUAAUGUUGAAAAAUUAGCGGAUGACUUGUGGCUGGGGGUGAAAGGCCAAUCAAACCGGGAGAUAGCUGGUUCUCCCCGAAAGCUAUUUAGGUAGCGCCUCGUGAAUUCAUCUCCGGGGGUAGAGCACUGUUUCGGCAAGGGGGUCAUCCCGACUUACCAACCCGAUGCAAACUGCGAAUACCGGAGAAUGUUAUCACGGGAGACACACGGCGGGUGCUAACGUCCGUCGUGAAGAGGGAAACAACCCAGACCGCCAGCUAAGGUCCCAAAGUCAUGGUUAAGUGGGAAACGAUGUGGGAAGGCCCAGACAGCCAGGAUGUUGGCUUAGAAGCAGCCAUCAUUUAAAGAAAGCGUAAUAGCUCACUGGUCGAGUCGGCCUGCGCGGAAGAUGUAACGGGGCUAAACCAUGCACCGAAGCUGCGGCAGCGACGCUUAUGCGUUGUUGGGUAGGGGAGCGUUCUGUAAGCCUGUGAAGGUGUGCUGUGAGGCAUGCUGGAGGUAUCAGAAGUGCGAAUGCUGACAUAAGUAACGAUAAAGCGGGUGAAAAGCCCGCUCGCCGGAAGACCAAGGGUUCCUGUCCAACGUUAAUCGGGGCAGGGUGAGUCGACCCCUAAGGCGAGGCCGAAAGGCGUAGUCGAUGGGAAACAGGUUAAUAUUCCUGUACUUGGUGUUACUGCGAAGGGGGGACGGAGAAGGCUAUGUUGGCCGGGCGACGGUUGUCCCGGUUUAAGCGUGUAGGCUGGUUUUCCAGGCAAAUCCGGAAAAUCAAGGCUGAGGCGUGAUGACGAGGCACUACGGUGCUGAAGCAACAAAUGCCCUGCUUCCAGGAAAAGCCUCUAAGCAUCAGGUAACAUCAAAUCGUACCCCAAACCGACACAGGUGGUCAGGUAGAGAAUACCAAGGCGCUUGAGAGAACUCGGGUGAAGGAACUAGGCAAAAUGGUGCCGUAACUUCGGGAGAAGGCACGCUGAUAUGUAGGUGAAGCGACUUGCUCGUGGAGCUGAAAUCAGUCGAAGAUACCAGCUGGCUGCAACUGUUUAUUAAAAACACAGCACUGUGCAAACACGAAAGUGGACGUAUACGGUGUGACGCCUGCCCGGUGCCGGAAGGUUAAUUGAUGGGGUUAGCGCAAGCGAAGCUCUUGAUCGAAGCCCCGGUAAACGGCGGCCGUAACUAUAACGGUCCUAAGGUAGCGAAAUUCCUUGUCGGGUAAGUUCCGACCUGCACGAAUGGCGUAAUGAUGGCCAGGCUGUCUCCACCCGAGACUCAGUGAAAUUGAACUCGCUGUGAAGAUGCAGUGUACCCGCGGCAAGACGGAAAGACCCCGUGAACCUUUACUAUAGCUUGACACUGAACAUUGAGCCUUGAUGUGUAGGAUAGGUGGGAGGCUUUGAAGUGUGGACGCCAGUCUGCAUGGAGCCGACCUUGAAAUACCACCCUUUAAUGUUUGAUGUUCUAACGUUGACCCGUAAUCCGGGUUGCGGACAGUGUCUGGUGGGUAGUUUGACUGGGGCGGUCUCCUCCUAAAGAGUAACGGAGGAGCACGAAGGUUGGCUAAUCCUGGUCGGACAUCAGGAGGUUAGUGCAAUGGCAUAAGCCAGCUUGACUGCGAGCGUGACGGCGCGAGCAGGUGCGAAAGCAGGUCAUAGUGAUCCGGUGGUUCUGAAUGGAAGGGCCAUCGCUCAACGGAUAAAAGGUACUCCGGGGAUAACAGGCUGAUACCGCCCAAGAGUUCAUAUCGACGGCGGUGUUUGGCACCUCGAUGUCGGCUCAUCACAUCCUGGGGCUGAAGUAGGUCCCAAGGGUAUGGCUGUUCGCCAUUUAAAGUGGUACGCGAGCUGGGUUUAGAACGUCGUGAGACAGUUCGGUCCCUAUCUGCCGUGGGCGCUGGAGAACUGAGGGGGGCUGCUCCUAGUACGAGAGGACCGGAGUGGACGCAUCACUGGUGUUCGGGUUGUCAUGCCAAUGGCACUGCCCGGUAGCUAAAUGCGGAAGAGAUAAGUGCUGAAAGCAUCUAAGCACGAAACUUGCCCCGAGAUGAGUUCUCCCUGACCCUUUAAGGGUCCUGAAGGAACGUUGAAGACGACGACGUUGAUAGGCCGGGUGUGUAAGCGCAGCGAUGCGUUGAGCUAACCGGUACUAAUGAACCGUGAGGCUUAACCUU